UUUCGUACAUAUCUGAAAUUAUUUUUAAAUUUAAAUUUAGUCAAAUAAUAUUCUUUUAAUACAAAGCCAUAUUAUUCUUACUGCAAAUAGUGAAGGUUUGCUUGCAUUUAUAAGUCAGUGGGACAAGGUACAGAAUAAUGACUCAUUUAAUGGCCAGAGCCAAGAAUUGAACCCUGCAAUUUGGCUUGUUGCUAUUUUCUUUCUCUACUUGAUUUCCUCUCCUUCCCUUUUCUCUAAAUUAAAGAACAUGCACAUUUUCGUAUUCAUAAUUAGCUUUUUUUUUUCUCUCAAGAGCUACAGUUGAAAAUGACCCUAAUUUCAAAGUCCCCCUGUUUUCUUUUGGAAAAUGGAGGCAAAUGUGGUUCUUCACAGGUUCACAUUAUCACGGAUUCCAAGCGGCUUCCAUUGUCACUGGGCCCUUAUGGCAUGCGCAUGGUUUAUUUGGUUUGGAGUGGCUUCAGUUUUCCAAAGACAUGGUGGAUUUGUACAAACAGAUCAUUAAUGAUAACCCCAGAACACUGAUGUCUAGAAAUAUUGGGCGGACGCAGCAGUUAGGAUAUUUUUUUUUCCUGAGGGUUGUCUGUUCUUUACAGGCAGGGCUGUCUGGUUGCCACCGGAUUGAAUGCUUCUGGAGAUUAGCCUCUUAUUGUUUGAAUGUUUUCAUAGCAUUGUUGUCAUAAAGCAUCUUCAUACUUCACAGCUGAGAUCUUGACUUCUAGAAUAGAAAAAAAGUCAGGGGCUAAUCAUAACAAUUAGCUAAUGUGUCAACAAUUAGCACUUUCCAUCAACCUGCUCUAAAAGGAGACUCUUCUUAUCCACUUGCAGACAAAAAUGCAAUGAUGUAGUUAAGAAAAGCACUGAAAUUGGCUCCUAGAGUCCCCUGCUGUAGCCAACCAAAUCCCCAGGGCAUUGUUUACAGUGAUUAUUCUGCCAUUAUGAUGUUAUUGCAUAGGCGGAG
rnacentral:lncRNA from 1 species